rnacentral:rRNA from 1 species
AGCGGCGGACGGGUGAGUAACGCGUGGGUAACCUGCCCUGUACACACGGAUAACAUACCGAAAGGUAUGCUAAUACGAGAUAAUAUACUUUUAUCGCAUGGUAGAAGUAUCAAAGCUUUUGCGGUACAGGAUGGUCCCGCGUCUGAUUAGCUAGUUGGUAAGGUAACGGCUUACCAGGGCGACGAUCAGUAGCCGACCUGAGAGGGUGAUCGGCCACAUUGGAACUGAGACACGGUCCAAACUCCUACGGGAGGCAGCAGUGGGGAAUACUGCACAAUGGGCGAAAGCCUGAUGCAGCAACGCCGCGUGAGCGAUGAAGGCCUUCGGGUCGUAAAGCUCUGUCCUCAAGGAAGAUAAUGACGGUACUUGAGGAGGAAGCCCCGGCUAACUACGUGCCAGCAACCGCGGUAAUACGUAGGGGGCUAGCGUUAUCCGGAAUUACUGGGCGUAAAGGGUGCGUAGGUAGUUUCUUAAGUCAGAGGUGAAAGGCUACGGCCCAACCGUAGUAAGCCUUUGAAACUGGGAAACUUGAGUGCAGGAGAGGAAAGUGGAAUUCCUAGUGUAGCGGUGAAAUGCGUAGAUAUUAGGAGGAACACCAGUAGCGAAGGCGGCUUUCUGGACUGUAACUGACACUGAGGCACGAAAGCGUGGGAGCAAACAGGAUUAGAUACCCUGGUAGUCCACGCCGUAAACGAUGAGUACUAGGUGU